UACAGAGGUCCCAAGCGUUGUUCGGAUUUACUGGGCGUAAAGGGCGCGUAGGCGGCCCUCCUAGUCGCGUGUGAAAGCCCCGGGCUCAACCUGGGAAUUGCGCGCGAAACGGGGGGGCUGGAGUUCGGGAGAGGAGCGUGGAAUUCCCAGUGUAGAGGUGAAAUUCGUAGAUAUUGGGAAGAACACCGGUGGCGAAGGCGGCGCUCUGGACCGAGACUGACGCUGAGGCGCGAAAGCGUGGGGAGCAAACAGG
rnacentral:rRNA from 1 species